AUAUCAAAUUCAUUAGAAGAAGUGGAAGAAGUACAUUUUUAUAUUGCAAAACAAAUUAACAGAACAUAUUAAAAAGAGAGAAAAUAUUCAUACAGUUCCUGUUAAAUCAGAUUGUAGUUUUGGCUUCAAGUUUCCACCAACUUAUAGUCGCCGGCGCAGUGCUCUUUUGAUUUCUCAUCUUUAGUUGCAAAAUGGCCGACCACAGGGAAAGAGAUUCGUAUUACUCGUCCGAUCCACGAUCAAAAAACGAUGAUCCACCAAAUUCGCGGCUUUUCGUUAUUUGCCACAAAAGUCUCGAGGAGGAUGACCUUCGAAAGGCAUUUGAAAAAUUCGGCAAAAUCGAAGAUAUUUGGGUGGUUAAAGACCGAAAUACAGGAGAAAAUAAAGGUGUAACGUAUAUCAAAUUUUCCAAAACAUCAGAAGCAGCAUGUGCUCUUGAAGAAAUGAACGGUAAAAUGUUAGGCUCUGUAGGACGUCCAAUAAAAGUCAUGAUUGCUUCCAACCGAGAUCAAGGAUCAGUUCGUGAGACAAACGAAGAGGAACGAUGGGUACGAUUAUUUUGUGUCUUACCAAAAUCAAUGACCGACACAGAAUUACAACAAGAAUUCUCAAAAUUUGGAGCAAUUGAAUAUGCAACAGUGGUAAAGGAUAGAAAUACCAAUGAAUCGAAAGGUUUUGGUUAUGUUAAAUUCCGAAAAGUAUCCAGUGCUGCUAAAGCAUUUGAGGAAUGUGACAGAAAAUACAAAGCCGUUUUUGCUGAACCAAAGAAACCAAAACCCGAUCAUAACGAUUCAAAAUACAGUAAUGGUCUCUCAGUGUCAUAUGACAAUAUGGGAGGUGGCGGCGGCGGUGGUGGCGGAUAUGGUUCAUCGAAUUUCGGUAAAAGUAGCAUUAGCCUUGAGAUUGCGGCUAAUUAUCCAAAUAAUGAGGGCUACACGAGAUUACAAGUAAUCGCGCAUCCUGCAUUGAAUCAAGAUCAGUUGUGGAAAUUGUUUGAUAUUGUGCCAGGAUUGGAUUAUUGCAGUUUGAAAACAGACGUCAGGUAUAGAAUGCCAAGAGGUCAGGCAACUGUCGCCUAUUUGAAUCCUAACGCUGCGGCAUAUGCGCGAGAAAAGUUUCAUGGCUUUGAAUAUCCACCUGGGCAUAGAAUGAUUGUUAAACCAGACUUGAGUAGUGCACCAUCAUCGAAAAAUCAGUCAAAACCCGGUGGUUCAAAUCUCGGACUCGGAAAUGCAAGAACGGAUUUAGUCCAUUUGGCGGAAACAAUUGCACAAGCUACUUCAUUAAUUCAAGCCGCUGGCUUAACAGCACCUUCUUUCGAUUCAUCGCUUUUGAAAUUGCCACCUCAGCAGCCAAUGGCAAGUAUUGAUGCAGACGUAGCAAAACGAUGUUUCAUCGUUUGUGGUCCACCGGUUCCUCCAAUUCACGCAAUGAAAGACGCUUUCUGCAGAUUUGGAAAUCUUAUCGAUGUCUAUAUGUUACCUGGCAAGAAUUGUGGAUAUGCAAAAUACGCUAGCGUUGACAGUGCUAACAAAGCAAUUGAGAAUCUUCAUGGACAGGAGAUUUGUGGCUCACGAUUAAAAGUACUGGAGGCCGAGGAGAGAAACGUGGGUGAGGACCGAAGGAAGCGAUUAAGAAUGGAUGAGGAUGAAAACUAAAUGUGUUUUUUUCAUGUAACAGAAUAACCGUUACCUGAUUACUGUGACACUAAAUGUUAAAAUGAGGGAAUUUUUCUAAAUCCAGAAUAAAAUUCAAUUUCCAGAUUAUUUGAAUAACAAUGGCUUCAUAGCAUGUCUUGAAGUUCUUCUUUGAAUUUGAAUUUGAAUGUCCUCCAAAUAUUUGCCUUUUGUUUCGGGAACUAUCAUAAUACUCACAAUUGGACCCACGAGGCACAUGAC